rnacentral:sRNA from 1 species
CUUGUUCGUGCCGAUGAACACCUCCUGCAGGGGGAGGGCGCACGCA